CCACUUUCUUUUAUUUUCUGAUGUUCUGAUUAUCUCUGCAUCAUCCUGAAUUCUGAUAGCCAGAAUAGGAGAUGGCAAACUUACUUCUUCAAGUUUCUAGCAAUCUCAGGACCUUUGCUCUCUCAGCCUCCUCUAAUGGUUCACCUCCUGGUGCACCUCAGUCAGGAGGACCAGCGAUUUUGGAGCUUCCCGUUGAUAAAAUUCGAAGACCCCUUAUGCGCACCAGAGCAAAUGACCCACAAAAGGUGAAAGAACUCAUGGACAGUAUCAGUGAAAUUGGCCUCCAAGUCCCUGUAAGACUAUUUUUCUUAUUUGUAUUUUCAGAAUUUAAUUCCAUGAUUUCCUGUCUGGCCAAAGUUUAUAGUGAAGCUUGAAUUACAGAGUGUCAAUUUCUUUUGCUGUCCUCAUUGUCUGUGUUAGUAUCUCCUCAUAAACAUGCGUUCCUAUUUACCCAAAUUAAGGUUGCUUAUAUCGAUUUAACAAAUUAACCUAUGACUGAAGGUGGUUUUAGAAGUUUUCAAUGAGGAGAGGCCUGUAUUUAGCGAAUGUAAUCUCCUUGAUGAAACACUUUCUGAUUAAAGUUGUUGAACUUUUUGGCCUUUCGUGAAUAAGAAAUCAUUAACCUGUUGAAUCUGCUCUUAAUGUGGUUCUUUUUCUUUAUGGAAGAUCUCAAAUAAGAAUCAGUAGUCUUGGGGAAUAUGAUUUGAUGGGUUAAUAAUUGUCCAAAAUAUAUUCGGAAAAGAAUCUGUUUUUCCACAAAGCAUUUGCAAGCAGCACUUCAGUUGAUUAUGUUGAGAUGGCCAACUGCAGAUGCAUAGUUGUUAAUGGAUUUAAUCAUGUCUACUUGAGAUCUCAAUUUUCUUGAACAGUUUACUUUACAUGGAAUAAACUGCAUGGGGAGUUUUUACCUCCAUAAAAUGAUCAGAUUGAUGAUUGGAUCCAGAAGGUAUUUAAAAUUGCAGUCUCAAUAGCGAAAUGGAGGACCGGUUGAAGUUAUUCUGCAUUUAUUCAAAGCUUUCAUUUAUUGGUGCUUAACGGAGCCAGAGAAAUAUGAAUGCAUAAACAUAUAACCUGUGCAACAGCUUGAAGUUGUGUAUUGUGCUAUACAUCACUUUAAUGUGAAAUUCCUUGACUGUGCUCCUAUUCUAAAUGCUUCAAGUCUUUUCUCAAUUUUUUUAUAGACAUCUCAUUCAUAUUUAAGAAAUAAGGCAGACAACAUCAGAACGCCAUUUUUGAAUGGUAGAGUACAUAUGGUAACCCAGAAAGUUAGUCAAGAAACUAGCAAACUCAUAUUCUUUAAAUGACAGCAGCAGCAACUCAUGCAUGAAUCACUUCACUUGUGAAGUGAUAAGAACUUCCAUUGUAUUCAUUUCUACUACAAGCUCUGCAACUUAAUUUGUUAUUAGGCAAUCAAUCAGCUCAAGAACCUCUGUGCUUCCUGAGUGGUUUAAUAUUCUUUCCGGAUUAAAAGGACUGAAACACUUCACCAAAGGUAUAUUUAUGAAUUUUCUCAUGGUAUUUAGAUGCAUAAGAAGAUGAAUAUAAGGCUUCAUGCAUACAUUGCCAACUAAAUAUAGGACUAAGGAUUUCUGAUAAGCAGAAAUGUCAUAUUUGAUACAGAACCACAGCAUGUGAUGUAACCUCUUCAAGGAGGUAUCACGACUGAAAGAUUUUGGUAGUCAACUUUACGUAUUACUGAACACUUAUAGUAACCAAAGGAAGUUUAAGAAUUUGCUUUCAUCCAUCAACUCCAUUUACUAGUCCAGGUUUUUGCUAAUGAGCCACAACUAUUUCCCCUGCUCUAAGCAUCUUCUAACUGCUGGCAUUCUCUAUUUUGCUCUUCUUUUUAUACUUGUUUUUGUUCAAUUCUAGCCUCUGGAACUUUGUGAUUCUUGGUUGUACAAAUUUGGUGCAGAUUGACGUGCUUGAGGUUGAUGGAGUCUAUUAUGUUACCUCUGAAACAUGAUAGGUUUCUCUGGUUGCCACCGUUACGAGGCUCAUCAACGCCUAGGGCUCAAAACUAUCCGUUGUAAAGUGCGUCGAGGAACCAAAGAAACUUUGAGGCAUCACCUACGAUGAUGAAUGCUGGUAAAUUGGUCCAAUAGGGCGAUAAUUGAUUGAUGAAAGGCCUGUGUAUUGUGAGUCUCAUCCAAAUGGAAUUGUUGCAACAGGAGCAAUAGUUCAUGUUAGAUAAAGGGAUGCUGCUCUGAUUCAACCUUUAUGCUGCUCUGAUUCAACCUUUCACCUUUUCUGUCAAUAAAAAGCAUCAUAUAUAAUAGUAGAGUGUGUCUAGUUCUUCCUUCUCUCGAGUUUUUCUCCUGAAAAUGCAUGCCAGCCCAAGGAAAUGAAGGAAUAGCUCAGCUUUGGAAGUAUCUUCCUGCUGGUUUCAAUAAUUUUGGUUUAUCUUCA